rnacentral:rRNA from 1 species
UACGGAGGGUGCGAGCGUUAUCCGGAAUUACUGGGUUUAAAGGGUGCGUAGGCGGCUUUGUAAGUCAGGAGUGAAAGUUUGCGGCUCAACCGUAAAAUUGCUUUUGAUACUGCGAGGCUAGAAUUAGGAUGAGGUCAGCGGAAUGUGGCAUGUAGCGGUGAAAUGCAUAGAUAUGCCAUAGAACACUAAUUGCGAAGGCAGCUGGCUAGACCUGGAUUGACGCUGAGGCACGAAAGCGUGGGGAGCGAACAGG